UACGGAGGGUGCAAGCGUUGUCCGGAUUCACUGGGUUUAAAGGGUGCGUAGGCGGGCAUGUAAGUCCGUGGUGAAAUCUCCGAGCUUAACUCGGAAACUGCCAUGGAUACUAUGUGUCUUGAAUGUUGUGGAGGUGAGCGGAAUAUGUCAUGUAGCGGUGAAAUGCUUAGAUAUGACAUAGAACACCAAUUGCGAAGGCAGCUCACUACACAAAUAUUGACGCUGAGGCACGAAAGCGUGGGGAUCAAACAGG
rnacentral:rRNA from 1 species